rnacentral:rRNA from 1 species
GACGAACGCUGGCGGCGUGCUUAACACAUGCAAGUCGAACGGACAGGCCCUGCUUUUGUGGGGUGCUCGAGUGGCGAACGGGUGAGUAACACGUGAGUAACCUGCCCUUGACUUUGGGAUAACUUCAGGAAACUGGGGCUAAUACCGGAUAGGAGCUCCUGCUGCAUGGUGGGGGUUGGAAAGUUUCGGCGGUUGGGGAUGGACUCGCGGCUUAUCAGCUUGUUGGUGGGGUAGUGGCUUACCAAGGCUUUGACGGGUAGCCGGCCUGAGAGGGUGACCGGCCACAUUGGGACUGAGAUACGGACCAGACUGCUACGGGAGGCAGCAGUGGGGAAUAUUGCACAAUGGGCGGAAGCCUGAUGCAGCAACGCCGCGUGCGGGAUGACGGCCUUCGGGUUGUAAACCGCUUUCGCCUGUGACGAAGCGUGAGUGACGGUAAUGGGUAAAGAAGCACCGGCUAACUACGUG